UACCCGGCAGGCGGGCAGUUCGCGCCGGCGCCCAGCAGAGCUCGGGUACCCUCCGGGAGAAGCCUGGGCACCAGUGCGAGGACGAUAUGUGCCUCCGGUUCCCGGGAGGAAAGAGCUGGAGAGAGCCGGAGCCGAGCAGCACUUCACGCCGAAGUUUCCCCCUUUGAAUCGUCUGGAGUUCUCUCUCUCUCUGCUUCCUGUCCAUCAUGACAGGAUCAGUCUCCUCUUCUGGCACAGGGUUCUGUUGCCAUGAUUUUCUGCCUUCCCACGAGCUCAGAACCAGCAGAGCCCAUGAUUAUGGAUGGACUGAGAUUUCUGAAACCGUGAGCCUAAGUCCUUUCCCCAUAUUUGUUUCUGUCAGACAUUUUGUUACAGGGAAAAGAAAGUCACUAUGCUUUUGUUGUAACAGUCAAUAAACUAUUGCCUAAUGUAAGA
rnacentral:lncRNA from 1 species